rnacentral:rRNA from 1 species
UACGUAGGGCGCAAGCGUUGUCCGGAAUUAUUGGGCGUAAAGAGCUCGUAGGUGGCUUGUCGCGUCUGCCGUGAAAGCCCGUGGCUUAACUACGGGUCUGCGGUGGAUACGGGCAGGCUAGAGGCUGGUAGGGGCAAGCGGAAUUCCUGGUGUAGCGGUGAAAUGCGCAGAUAUCGGGAAGAACACCCGUGGCGAAGGCGGCUCUCUGGGACGGUACUGACGCUGAGACGCGAAAGCGUGGGGAGCGAACAGG